GACGAACGCUGGCGGCGUGCUUAACACAUGCAAGUCGAGCGGUAAGGCUCCUUCGGGGGUACACGAGCGGCGAACGGGUGAGUAACACGUGAGUAAUCUGCCCUUCACUCCGGGAUAAGCCUCGGAAACGAGGUCUAAUACCGGAUACGACCACUUCCUGCAUGGGAUGGUGGUGGAAAGUUUUUCGGUGGAGGAUGUGCUCGCGGCCUAUCAGCUUGUUGGUGGGGUAAUGGCCUACCAAGGCUUCGACGGGUAGCCGGCCUGAGAGGGUGACCGGCCACACUGGGACUGAGACACGGCCCAGACUCCUACGGGAGGCAGCAGUGGGGAAUAUUGGACAAUGGGCGAAAGCCUGAUCCAGCAACGCCGCGUGAGGGAUGACGGCCUUCGGGUUGUAAACCUCUUUCAGCGGGGACGAAGCGCAAGUGACGGUACCCGCAGAAGAAGCACCGGCCAACUACGUGCCAGCAGCCGCCGUAACAC
rnacentral:rRNA from 1 species